AUUGAACGCUGGCGGCAGGCCUAACACAUGCAAGUCGAGCGGAUGAAGGGAGCUUGCUCCUGGAUUCAGCGGCGGACGGGUGAGUAAUGCCUAGGAAUCUGCCUGGUAGUGGGGGAUAACGUCCGGAAACGGGCGCUAAUACCGCAUACGUCCUGAGGGAGAAAGAGGGGGAUCUUCGGACCUCACGCUAUCAGAUGAGCCUAGGUCGGAUUAGCUAGUUGGUGGGGUAAAGGCCUACCAAGGCGACGAUCCGUAACUGGUCUGAGAGGAUGAUCAGUCACACUGGAACUGAGACACGGUCCAGACUCCUACGGGAGGCAACAGUGGGGAAUAUUGGACAAUGGGCGAAAGCCUGAUCCAGCCAUGCCGCGUGUGUGAAGAAGGUCUUCGGAUUGUAAAGCACUUUAAGUUGGGAGGAAGGGCAGUAAGUUAAUACCUUGCUGUUUUGACGUUACCAACAGAAUAAGCACCGGCUAACUUCGUG
rnacentral:rRNA from 1 species